GUACUUACCAUGUUUUCUCGCAAACAGGACACACAUUGUCUGAAAUGAAUGUAGAACAAGCUGACUGCCGGAAUCAUGAGAGGGUGUUGUGGUACUGACUUCUCCAUUGUGGCUAGCUGGUUAGGAAAGGAAUAAAUAGUACUUAGAUAAUAAAUAGUAUGGUGUUUCUUCCCGGCUUCCCGCUAAUACAGUUUUAGAUUAUAACUAGACAAUCGGUAAAUCAAAUGAAUGAUCAUUCAUGUACAUGCUUCAUGCCUUAGGUCUAGCUUGAUAAGAGAGAAAGAACAUGUUUAUAUCCGCAUGACCAUGAUUAUGAUGUCAAACAAAUGACUAUGCUUUCCUUUUAGAGUUUUUUUUCAUUUACAUGAGCUGUAUUUUCUAAUGGAACAUAUGCUAAUAGUAAAACUCAUGUGUGAUUAUAUUUCCUGCUGGUGAUUCCGGGCAAAGAUGUAGUGAUAAUCCAUGAUCCCCUACCCGUCUCUAGCCUGGCGCUGGGCUGAUUGAACCAGAGUCCCCAGGCACACUGCAGGGCAGCGACCACAUUAGUUUUCAUGUUGUGUAUAGCAGCUGUAGUGUAAUACUCCAAAUUGAUGAAAUAAAUGUUUGAGCUUUUUUUGAAGUGGAACAUAGGUAAUGGUGGAAACAUUUAUCCAUUAUAUCAUUGUGUCAAGUCGAGCACAUUGGCCUUGACGGCAUGAGGCCCAGUACCAUCAAGUUUGUUUCCUUCUUUGCUUUUCUGCUUGCUAGGCUUGUUCUAUCUCUAAAAGGCGCUAGCCUACUCGGCCAACCAGAGCACCCAAAGGGGCAAACCUUCGUUGGUCGUCCGAUCGGUGCUGGACAGUAAAUUUUGCCUCCCGCAGCGUUUGAUCACCGUCCAUUUUACCUUUUCCUCGUUCACGUUAGCGCUAUGCUGAGAAGUCUAUGACAUUUGGGGUCUCCUUUGAGUGGGGUCGCGUGGCUGAGGCAAGAGGGCUCGUGCUGUGAGUCUGUCAUUUCUCUUGGCUAAGGUGAAAACCUAGACACCACGAUUGGCUCCGCUUCCUCCUGUCCUCCCCAAUCCGCCGCAUUCUCUCUUCCUCCCAUUUUGCCCAACUCAGGUCGCCCAGGAGGUGAAGAGGAGGCAGGGUGGACCGCGCAUCGACCUCGCCGCUCCUCUUCCGAGCGUUGGAGAAGCAUGGUCGGGAGGCAGCGCGGGCGCCGCCGCCUCGUGCCUCGCUCGGGCCGCUGUGUAGAGCGCCAGGAGGCCAUGGUAGCCGCCGGUCGCGGGCAUCAGGCCGAGGCCGCGUCAGCCGCCGCCCCAGCGGUCUUCUCUCUCUACCCACAGGGUGGUCGCCCUCUCUGGUGCGUCGGAGCGCCGGAUCGAGCGAUGUGAAUCAGUGGUGAGCCAAGCUGCAUGGAGCAGCCAUUGGUGGAGAGGACGCCACGCCGACGAGCAGUGGUGGUCACCCAGAUCCCAGCAAAGCAUGGGGACGGGUGUCCUCUGCCAGACCUGGGCUUCCUUGUCAACGAUCUCACCAUCUACAGCAGCUCCGCAGCCUUGCAGUGUACUGCUUGCUGAAAAAUUGUCAAUGAAUCAAGUCGUGGGGAAAAAGUGAAAGCAGGCAAAGCGAGUUAUGACAAUAAUGUGUGAUUGUUCUGAAAGUGAGCAGACAUACGGCGGUACUCUAGCCAUAGAGUGAGAUGGAAAAUUAAGUCCAUGUCCAGGAUGGUGCGGGCUGGAGCGGUGGAGGUUCGGCGUCUUCGCCUCACUGCCAUGCAUAGAGCUGCUGCUACUGCUAUGCCUUUCUUCUCAAUGUCUCUUGGGUUGUUUCUUGCUGCUGCUGCUGGCACUUGGCUGAGAAUCUUCUAUUUUCCUUACUGCGAGUCUACGUUGCUCCUACACUUCUUCCACGUUCAUUUAUGCUUGUACGAUCUGUUCUAUGUGUAUGUGCAUUGCAGCUUCUUUGGAAGGUUCCUUACUGCCUCUCUGGCCCUCCUAGGAUAGAAAAGCUUGUCGCGGUCACCGAGAGCUCGCAUAGGAGCCGCCGUGAGCACUGUCUCCUGGGAGCCGCCAUGAAUCUUGCACACGACGUCCAGACCUCGAUUGUAGGACAUGGGCCGCCAUGAAGGAAUUAAACGAUGCGGUACAACAACUUCAGCAGGGGACAGUAGAGACCAUG